CUUUCUUCCUUAUUCAUCUUUCCUUCGUUGCUCCUUUUCUCUCUCCCGCUCUCCAUUUUCGUUGUCCGUCGUUCGCCUGCUUCGCCCCCACCACGCUUUGCUUCCUCUCCGACCCGUUGCGGCUGACUGGUAUUCUUCCCCGUCCGUGUGCAUCGCCAUUGUGAUGGAGUUUGUGCAUUCCAUCGGUGCUGCUGGUUAAGCCCAGGUCCUUCCCCUGAUAUCUCCUGCGCUUGCUGUCGCAUCGGCUCUCCAUCCCCUGCUAUCUUACGGAGGGAGUACGAACGACUGUGGCAGCGAGCAUGGGAGUGACAAAGCUAGCUGAGUUGGUCGACUGUGAGGAAUGACUGCGCUCAACGCCGACCUCCAACCUGUUCUUCUCAACCAUACAUAGCUUCCAGGAGGCGUCGGCUACAGGAGCGCCAUGAGCCUUAGGAGUGGAACACCACUUCCUCCAAUCUUGCAGAGGCCUCUGCUUUUCUCGUCGUCGUCUAUCGGUCCAAGCUGCUGUUGUCCGCUCCAUCGCCUUCCAGUUGCUUCUGGAGCAUGCUGCGGAUUCGUUGUGCCUCCCUCCAAUGUAAGUUCUCUUUGCUUCCACUGCCUUUGCAUAUGCAUGUGUGA